UGAGCUGCUGCAGCCUCAACUAGCGCGGCGGAGGCGGAGGCGCCGCUUCCUCUCCCGUCCUCGUGGCAACCGAUCACGCCGCAAGUGUCGGUAUUCACCAGCAGUGUUCAGAACGCUCGGCCAGGUGGCAUUCCGUUGCCGUUUACGUUGCAGAAUGUGCUUUCUUUCCUAAUCCGUUGCACAAUUGUCUUGCCCACAUGGAGAGCCGUUACAGCGUUGAGUGCAUAUCCUUCCCCGCCAUGUACUAGUAUUUCCUUUGCCCUCACAGGAAACACAACUCGGCACACUUCUAUUGUUGCCGCUACUGUCGGACAUCUCCGCACACGAGCAGGACAACUCAGUGUUACUAGUGAGGCAAAACUGUGCGCUCGUUGACAUCUGUGUGCUGCUGCUACUACUACUACUACUAGUGAAGUGCUUGACGUUAUCUAAUGUGCAAUUUUUUUUUUGCCUUAUUAGUAACACGGCGUUUUCCUACGACAGUCAUCGCACCUGCCGAGAGAUGUCCGUGGUGUCCUUGCACUAGUAUGCUUUUUUCUCACUAGCAAGAUAAUUCAACGUACUUGUCGGACGACUAUGUGCAGUAGUCCAAUAACUGAGUCUUACGAGUUUCAUAUUGCCGCUACUAGUGCCCGACAUGUGCUACUAGUGCACUGGAAUGUUUUACUAGUGAGGAUUAAGAGUAUAUUAGUACAUGGACUUUAAGAUGGAUAUCAAGGUAUUGACUAAAAGGGUACUAGUAUGCUCCUUGGCCUCACUGGUGAGACAAUUCAGCGUACUACUAGAAUGGCUGGUUGAACUAGUAACAUAUUUUUUUCUUCUCCACUACUGCUUUCCACUGCUGUAUGACAUUACUUCACACGAGGAGGACAUGUCCAUGUUACGAGUGCGCGGACUUUCAGGUCUGUGUACUAGUACACUCUUUGUCAUCGUUCGUGAGACAAAUCUGCACGCUAGUAGGAUAUUGAGUCACUAGUGCCAUGACUCAUACUAAAAGUAACACUGUAAAAUUCCGUGAGUUAUCGUCUUGCGCUUUGCAGAUGGUAUCGGUCGCACACAGAAUGUCAACUAGUGCACCGUUUUGCCUGUAACUUGUUCUACAAGUAUACCAAAAUGCUUGUACUAAUGACUUAUUAGUGAGGACAUAGCGUUUUACGAGUACCUGGAACUUAAGCUGCAGCUACUGCCUCCCUCGUAAAAUGUUGUUUUACUAUUAUGCAAACGCGUUCCUACGAGUGAGGACAAAUAGCGUAACGAGUGCAUGAACCUAUAAAUGGAUAACAUGGAUGGCACACGAGUCGAACGACUCGGCCGCACUAGUAGACCGAAGUCUUACUAGGAAAGUCAUUUUCUGCCCUGUAUGACAGUUCUGCACACUAUUAAAUGCAAAGAUGUCCUACAGUAGUGGGG